rnacentral:rRNA from 1 species
UACGAAGGGUGCAAGCGUUACUCGGAAUUAUUGGGCGUAAAGGGUGCGUAGGCGGUUUGGUAAGUCUGAUGUGAAAUCUAUGGGCUCAACUCAUAGUCUGCAUCGGAAACUGCCGGGCUUGAGUGUGGGAGAGGUGAGUGGAAUUCCUGGUGUAGCGGUGAAAUGCGUAGAUAUCAGGAGGAACACCUGUGGCGAAAGCGGCUCACUGGACCAUAACUGACGCUGAUGCACGAAAGCUAGGGGAGCAAACAGG